UGUUAACAGGGGAAGCGGGUGGAAGGAGGAGGAGAAAGGUGAGGUAGAGAGAGAAUGUGGCUAAGAGCGGGGCACAGCGCCUGCUGUCUUCAUCCCUGCACCGCACGCGGCAUUCUCCCUCUGCCAGUGAUGAGGACUCUUAAAGAGGACAAAGAAGGAAGAAAGACGGCCUGAACAAAGAAUGGUGAAAAAGCUCUCUGAGCAAUGAGGAUACCAUCGAUUUGAGUCCCACUGCUUCUCUCAGACAUGUUCCAUUUGCCUGCCCUUUUCUUCCAUGUCAAUCCACUACUUUUCUGUGCUGGGAGAAGAUAUCAAAGUUCAUGUCAAUGUCGGCAGUUACAAUGUAACAGAUGAAACCAAAUGUACCAAAAAAAAAACUUCCAACCCAGAGGUUGAUAAACAAUGAAUCUUUGGGAAGAUUCAGCAGCCAUCCGCCACCUGCAAAGAUCAACUGGAGUUCCAGGGUUGAAAGGAAGUGGACUCACACAAUAGAUGCCCCCCUACAACCCUCUCUUUUAUCCUCACCAUCCAACACACAUGGGCACACUGCCAACUCGGAAUCUUAAGAACUCUCAUUCAAAAGAACCCCCCUUAAGAAGGGGAUUUGUUUAAAGCCAGGACCCUUUCUCUCUCCCAGUCUCCUUGUAUUUUCCCCCUUUCAUAUCCCCAUGAGAAGAGCGAAUUUUGCUUGAUUAUUCUCCGACACCGCAACUGGGAUUUCUAAAAUUGCCACUCCAGCAGCGUUUUGUCAGAUUUAUGAAUUUUGUCAGUGAAGGGAUGCCAUUCUCGCUCUAGGUGGACACAGCCAGAGGAGGAGGAAAUGGAGCCAGAAGAGCUGCACAGAAGACAUCGCACUAAUGUCCACAGAAUAUUUUCCAAAAAGUCUUGGGGAUCAUCAAGAUGUGUUACGAUCAUUGGAAGCAUACUCGGACCAACGUGCAGCGUGAUCUGGAUUCCACAUCUUUUUAUUUAAAGAAGAAGAAAAUAAGGAAGAUCCAGAGAUGACUGACCCCUGUUGACUUACGGAAGAUGAACUCAAGGCCACACUGCUUAAAUAUGGAGUCAAAGUUGGAGCCAUUGUAGCAGGACAUGGCGAUGGUGGACAAGCAUACCACGGCUAACCGAUCACCUUGCGUCACCCCAAAGACCUCCUUUUUCUAACAGCAUAUCAAGGCACCUACAUUAGCAUGUUUAGUUGUCUUUCAGAUUCAUUCCCAUCUUUCCACUCUUUCAACAGUUCAUACACUAGAGCUACGGUGUAUAUGCAGGUCUACACGGUAUACUUUAUUAUCCUGUUAAUGGUUUUACCAUCACUGUGAUUUUGAUUGGGUUGUUCAUGUAUAUAACCAAGCUAGUGCAUGAAUCAAAGUGCUCAUUCAUACCGAAAAUAAUGUUUUACUAAGAAAAGGUUUGGGGGAAAUGUCUUGUUCACUGUACUUUUACCUCACGACUUUGAACCUAAGGUCUUGCACAAUAACCACAAGUGGCUUUAUGACUUUCCCCUAACCUUUUAUCUCUUUGCCAUUCCACCCGAUCUGAUUUAAGAUGGUGAGGGACACUGGUAGUGUGGCUGUUUCUCUUUCCUCUCAUCUGUUUGGGUCAGACAGUCAGAUUGGUUUCACUUCUUCAGGAGCCGGUCUCAGAUGUCCUGAUGGAGUUCCUAGAGACCGAAUCUAUACACACUGGCAAUGUGUAAGUCCAGUUUCCAUAAAACAACACUACACAUACAGAAGCCAUGUCAAUUAGGGAAUGGUCACCAUUUGUAAGGUAGCUAUCUCUCAGGUUAAAUAAGGUUAUGUCCCAGAGACUUUAUGGUUACUGCUUACUGAGGCUACCUUGAUUCCAUAUUAUCCUACUUAUUUUUCUACCUUUUUUAUGUGGUCAAUUAUACUCUUUCUUCCACUGCCACCUGGCGGAGGUCAAUCAAGGGUGCAGAGGGGCAACCAGUCCAGUGUAAAUACCCAGACCUGCCUGCCAGUCCCAUGACCCUACAAAGACUGGUAUUGGAGCGCUGCCUGGUGCCUCUGUGGGCCCAGAUCCGGGUCUUCCUCAUCUUGACUUGCCUCCUCAAACUCAUCUACUCUGCCAUGGAGCACAGCUCGGACCAUCCUUUUGUGGCAUUGCUGGACAACCUCAGUAUGGGGACAGCGACUGAGGGACUGUCGCUCCAGGAUGACCCUUAGGACUCAUCUGUACACCCUCUCUAGGGAGGAGUAACUCCCCUGCUCUAGGUCUGUGUACUGACUCUCCACCCUUCUCCUAAAGGGAGAAAUCAUUUUAUGCAUGAAUUUAAUAGUGGAUAAAACUUCAUCCAGCCAAUGCUUAUACCAAUCCUAAACUUUAAAAUCCAUGAUGAGAAGUAGUGCACACUUGGGGGUUAAGGAAGGAUGCUCCACAAAUUGGUUUACAGUUGUUGUGAGGAACUUCAUUUGGUCACUGUAAUUCACCUUUACACUUUGGAUGAUGCCACUCUUAACCAAGCAAGGUCGCCAUUAUAACCUUGUGGUUUGGAAAAUGUUCAGAUGAAACUACUGUUCAAAUAUAUACAGUGAUGGUGGAAGUGCAGAAAAUAAAGUUAUUAGGCCUAAUUUAGAGAAAUAAUACAAUUUUGAGAUUUGUAACUGAAUGGAAGAUGUAUUUAAUUAAAAGUAUGUAUCAAGGAGAACUGAAUGGCGUUACGGCUACAAUUUACACAUUGGUUCAGUUGGGGUUAUCAAAGUCCAAUCUGUGUCAGAGUUCAUCAAAGAUGUGAUCAGGGACAGUAUUCUCUUGUUUUAAAGGUUUUGUAAAUGUAUCUUUAUUCAGUACAGUUUUUGGGCACUGAAAUGUCAAACUAAUAAGCAAUAUAAAAAAAUAUAUUUUGUGAAUACUCAUUACCUUUUCAAAUCCAUCUGUAAUUUUUCUGUUUCUAUUUUGGGUGUGCAAUAGCUACUUUAAACAAAAAAUGUUAGGGAAUUCAGUGUUUUUUUUCAAGAGUUGCUUUUGUGUUUGAGUUAUUUUGAAUAAAGAGAUUUGUUUCAUUUGGACAUGGUCCCAAAUGAAUAACACAUGCUGUAUGACAUUUUGAUUCAAACUGCAUGCAUGUGCAUAUUUAGUUGAACAGUUAGUCAGUAUGCUGGUUAUCUGGAGACAUAUGUCAGUGCUAUCUUGGAUCCUUGUGAUGACCAUACUCGAACUUUAACUCUUUCCAUUUCAAAUGUUAACUUAAAGGGUGGGUACCCUAUUUCAAGCCCAGCACAUGACGCUCUAAUGAUCAUAUAUAAAAACGUCACGAGUAGCUGCAUUAACACGCUGUGUGUGUACUGUCAAAUAGUAAAAAUGACUGACCGCAGUGGGAAAUUUAAUAUUAUGAAGUUAGUUAAAAUUGUCUCUCAGCUUAUUAUUCGUUGUUAUAGUAUGUUUUGUUGCAGCCACUUUAAGGACUCUGACGUUUGACGUGAAUUCAGGACUUCAACUUGCACACUGGGAAAAGACGAACAACAUUGCGUCUGACAUAAACCAGCACCAGCGAAAGGAGCUUCAUGCUCAUUUCAGAGAGGCGAUCCAGAUUCCCACGGUGUCAACAUCACCGCACUGGGCGAGUUCGACAGCCUCCUGAGGAGAGAUAUAUUUCUCGUCAGGAUGGCCUCUUCUGACCAAGUAGUUUGAAUAAUGUAAGUACACACAGUCUGUGAGGGUGGGGUAAAAGGUGGGACAGAUGCAAGGUUUCCAAUAGCCGGCUUUUGGCCGUAAAUAAAUGAAUAGAGAGAAAUACAAUUUGGAAAAGGUGAAAAAUUCCCAUUGAGAAAUAAUGAUAUUUAGCCUAUUCAUUGAUGGAACUAACAGUUGAUCUAAAUACAUUUGACCAGUCAUGCUUAAUGCUUAUUGGUCUAUGGGGUAAUUUAGUGAAAUUUAAUUGGCGCUGUCGGACAGAUGGUUGUAUGAAUUUGGGAUCAAUUCAGAAGCAUACCACGCAGCAUUCCACUGCUGGCUUGCUUCUGAAGCUAAUCAGGGUUGGACCUGGUCAGUUCCUGGAUGGGAGACCAGAUGCUGCUGAAGGUGGUGUUGGAGGGCCAGUAGAAGGCACUCUUUCCUCUGGUCUAA